GAUGAACGCUGGCGGCGUGCUUAACACAUGCCAGUCGAACGGAAAGGCCCAAGCUUGCUUGGGUACUCGAGUGGCGAACGGGUGAGUAACACGUGGGUGAUCUGCCCUGCACUUCGGGAUAAGCCUGGGAAACUGGGUCUAAUACCGGAUAGGACCACAUUUUGGAUGGUGUGGUGGAAAGUUUUUCGGUGUGGGAUGAGCUCGCGGCCUAUCAGCUUGUUGGUGGGGUAAUGGCCUACCAAGGCGUCGACGGGUAGCCGGCCUGAGAGGGUGUACGGCCACAUUGGGACUGAGAUACGGCCCAGACUCCUACGGGAGGCAGCAGUGGGGAAUAUUGCACAAUGGGCGCAAGCCUGAUGCAGCGACGCCGCGUGGGGGAUGACGGCCUUCGGGUUGUAAACUCCGUUCGCUAGGGACGAAGCGUUAUGUGACGGUACCUGGAGAAGAAGCACCGGCUAACUACGUG
rnacentral:rRNA from 1 species